AUACGGAGGGUGCAAGCGUUACUCGGUAUCACUGGGCGUAAAGCGCGCGCAGGCGGGCUGAUAAGUUGGAUGUGAAAGCCUACGGCUCAACCGUAGAACUGCAUCCAAAACUGUCAGUCUAGAGUGUGGGAGAGGAAGAUGGAAUUAGUUGUGUAGGGGUAAAAUCCGUAGAGAUAACUAGGAAUACCAAAAGCGAAGGCAAUCUUCUGGAACACUACUGACGCUGAGGCGCGAAGGCGUGGGGAGCAAACAGGAUUAGAUACCCUAGUAGUCC
rnacentral:rRNA from 1 species